rnacentral:rRNA from 1 species
GACGAACGCUGGCGGCGUGCUUAAUACAUGCAAGUCAACUGAACUUAAGAUAGCAAUAUUUUAAGGGAGGUGGCGCACGGGUGAGUAACACGUAGGUAAUCUGCCUUUAGGUCUGACACAACCCCGAGAAAUCGGGGCUAAUAUCAGAUGAUGCAGCGGCUCGACAUCGAGACAGUUGUUAAACCUUCGGGGCCUAAAGAUGAGCCUGCGUCUGAUUAGCUGGUUGGCGGGGUAACGGCCCACCAAGGCAACGAUCAGUAGCUGGUCUGAGUGGAUGAUCAGCCACACUGGAACUGAGACACGGUCCAGACUCCUACGGGAGGCAGCAGUAAGGAAUAUUGCUCAAUGGCCGAAAGGCUGAAGCAGCAACGCCGCGUGGAGGAUGAAAUACUUUUGUAUGUAAACUCCUGUGAGAAGGGAAAUAUGCAGAUUUUCUGCGUUGAUUGUACCUUCAGAGGAAGCCCCGGCUAACUACGUGCCAGCAGCCG